UACGAAGGGAGCGAGCGUUGUUCGGAAUCACUGGGCUUAAAGAGUACGUAGGCGGCCACACAAGUCAGGAGUGAAAUCCCGGGGCUCAACCCCGGAAUUGCUUUUGAAACUAGGUGGCUCGAGUCCCGGAGAGGUUAGCAGAAUUCCGAGUGUAGAGGUGAAAUUCGCAGAUAUUCGGAGGAAUACCAGUGGCGAAGGCGGCUAACUGGACGGGUACUGACGCUGAGGUACGAAAGCGUGGGGAGCAAACAGG
rnacentral:rRNA from 1 species